GGCUCACCUAGGCGACGAUCCCUAGCUGGUCUGAGAGGAUGACCAGCCACACUGGAACUGAGACACGGUCCAGACUCCUACGGGAGGCAGCAGUGGGGAAUAUUGCACAAUGGGCGCAAGCCUGAUGCAGCCAUGCCGCGUGUAUGAAGAAGGCCUUCGGGUUGUAAAGUACUUUCAGCGGGGAGGAAGGGAGUAAAGUUAAUACCUUUGCUCAUUGACGUUACCCGCAGAAGAAGCACCGGCUAACUCCGUGCCAGCAGCCGCGGUAAUACGGAGGGUGCAAGCGUUAAUCGGAAUUACUGGGCGUAAAGCGCACGCAGGCGGUUUGUUAAGUCAGAUGUGAAAUCCCCGGGCUCAACCUGGGAACUGCAUCUGAUACUGGCAAGCUUGAGUCUCGUAGAGGGGGGUAGAAUUCCAGGUGUAGCGGUGAAAUGCGUAGAGAUCUGGAGGAAUACCGGUGGCGAAGGCGGCCCCCUGGACGAAGACUGACGCUCAGGUGCGAAAGCGUGGGGAGAAAACAGGAUUAGAUACCCUGGUAGUCCACGCCGUAAACGAUGUCGACUUGGAGGUUGUGCCCUUGAGGCGUGGCUUCCGGAGCUAACGCGUUAAGUCGACCGCCUGGGGAGUACGGCCGCAAGGUUAAAACUCAAAUGAAUUGACGGGGGCCCGCACAAGCGGUGGAGCAUGUGGUUUAAUUCGAUGCAACGCGAAGAACCUUACCUGGUCUUGACAUCCACGGAAGUUUUCAGAGAUGAGAAUGUGCCUUCGGGAACCGUGAGACAGGUGCUGCAUGGCUGUCGUCAGCUCGUGUUGUGAAAUGUUGGGUUAAGUCCCGCAACGAGCGCAACCCUUAUCCUUUGUUGCCAGCGGUCCGGCCGGGAACUCAAAGGAGACUGCCAGUGAUAAACUGGAGGAAGGUGGGGAUGACGUCAAGUCAUCAUGGCCCUUACGACCAGGGCUACACACGUGCUACAAUGGCGCAUACAAAGAGAAGCGACCUCGCGAGAGCAAGCGGACCUCAUAAAGUGCGUCGUAGUCCGGAUUGGAGUCUGCAACUCGACUCCAUGAAGUCGGAAUCGCUAGUAAUCGUGGAUCAGAAUGCCACGGUGAAUACGUUCCCGGGCCUUGUACACACCGCCCGUCACACCAUGGGAGUGGGUUGCAAAAGAAGUAGGUAGCUUAACCUUCGGGAGGGCGCUUACCACUUUGUGAUUCAUGACUGGGGUGAAGUCGUAACAAGGUAACCGUAGGGGAACCUGCGGUUGGAUCACCU
rnacentral:rRNA from 1 species